UACGGAGGGUGCGCGCGUUGUUCGGAAUUAUUGGGCGUAAAGCGCACGUGGGCGGCCUGGUAAGUCUCACUGUGAAAGCCCGGGGCUCAACCCCGGGAGGCCAGGGGAUACUGCAAGGCUAGAGACAAGUAGAGGCUGGUAGAAUUCCGGGUGUAGCGGUGGAAUGCGUAGAGAUCCGGAGGAAUACCUGAGGCGAAGGCGGCCAGCUGGGCUUGAUCUGACGCUGAGGUGCGAAAGCGUGGGGAGCGAACAGG
rnacentral:rRNA from 1 species